UCAGUUGUACUUCUAGGGAUCAGUCCUAUAGUACAUAUCACCAGGACGUCAAAAAAACUUGACCCUGGCCAACCAACCGCGAUGAUGAACAGUGCGGC
rnacentral:snoRNA from 1 species